GGGCUGGUGAAUUACCAGAUCUCCGUCAAGUGCAGUAACCAGUUCAAGUUGGAAGUGUGUCUUUUGAAUGCAGAAAACAAAGUCGUGGACAACCAGGCUGGGACCCAGGGCCAGCUGAAGGUGCUGGGUGCCAACCUCUGGUGGCCGUACCUGAUGCACGAACACCCCGCCUACCUGUACUCGUGGGAGGAUGGUGAUUGCUCACACCAAAGCCUUGGACCCCUCCCAGCCUGUGACCUUUGUGACCAACUCCACCUACGCAGCAGACAAGGGGGCUCUGUAUGUGGAUGUGAUCCGUGUGAACAGCUACUACUCUUGGUAUCGCAACUACGGGCACCUGGAGUUGAUUCAGCUGCAGCUGGCCGCCCAGUUUGAGAAUUGGUGUAAGACAUCACAAUCCCAUUAUUCAGAGCGCGUAUGGAGUGGAAACGCUUGUAGGGUUUCACCAG